CAGAAUCAGUAGCCAAAGGAACCUUGUCAGCCUGAGAACCAAAAUAAAUAAAUAAAUAAAUAUAAGCCAGCCAGCCAGCCAAACAACCAACACAGGUAGGAAGGACAUAGAAGUUAAGAAAAAAAACUAACCAGAGGACGAUAUUUGAGUCCAUAAAACAUCUCCAGGUAACGACGACUCUCACGUCUUUCCAGAUUUGAAACAUGCUUCCAGAAACCAUAGAUUGUUGUCAAUGUCAACAGCCUCUCAGAGUACAGCUUCCAAGUAUACCUGUGUAAGCAUUUAAUUUAAUUCUAUGUUUUGAGUUUUGAAUUAUGAAAAUAGUGGAUGCAUGCUACUUACUUGUCAUGGAUACGUUUCAGACCUCCCUGUGAGAUUGUUUCCCAGUAUGCUGGUUCUUGUUUGCACUUGUCAAAGAAACCAACAAGAAUAUCAGAAACAUGGUCGCCCUCAUAGGGGUCAAUAUGGAACCCAGAAACACCAUCGACAAUGAUUUCACCAGGUCCUCCAUGGAUAGUUGCAAAAGUUGGUAAACCACAAGUCAUUGCCUCCACAACUGUAAGUCCAAAGGCCUCGUAGAAUGCAGGUUGAACGAAAACACCUUUACUUUCAGCAAUAACACGGUAGAGUUCACCAUUCCGAACACGAUCCAUUUGUGCAGAGAUCCAUCUGAUCUGGCCAUCGAGCUUAUGUUCUUCGAUC
rnacentral:lncRNA from 1 species